rnacentral:rRNA from 1 species
UGUUAGCGGCGGACGGGUGAGUAACACGUGGAUAACCUACCUAUAAGACUGGGAUAACUUCGGGAAACCGGAGCUAAUACCGGAUAAUAUUUUGAACCGCAUGGUUCAAAAGUGAAAGACGGUCUUGCUGUCACUUAUAGAUGGAUCCGCGCUGCAUUAGCUAGUUGGUAAGGUAACGGCUUACCAAGGCAACGAUGCAUAGCCGACCUGAGAGGGUGAUCGGCCACACUGGAACUGAGACACGGUCCAGACUCCUACGGGAGGCAGCAGUAGGGAAUCUUCCGCAAUGGGCGAAAGCCUGACGGAGCAACGCCGCGUGAGUGAUGAAGGUCUUCGGAUCGUAAAACUCUGUUAUUAGGGAAGAACAUAUGUGUAAGUAACUGUGCACAUCUUGACGGUACCUAAUCAGAAAGCCACGGCUAACUACGUGCCAGCAGCCGCGGUAAUACGUAGGUGGCAAGCGUUAUCCGGAAUUAUUGGGCGUAAAGCGCGCGUAGGCGGUUUUUUAAGUCUGAUGUGAAAGCCCACGGCUCAACCGUGGAGGGUCAUUGGAAACUGGAAAACUUGAGUGCAGAAGAGGAAAGUGGAAUUCCAUGUGUAGCGGUGAAAUGCGCAGAGAUAUGGAGGAACACCAGUGGCGAAGGCGACUUUCUGGUCUGUAACUGACGCUGAUGUGCGAAAGCGUGGGGAUCAAACAGGAUUAGAUACCCUGGUAGUCCACGCCGUAAACGAUGAGUGCUAAGUGUUAGGGGGUUUCCGCCCCUUAGUGCUGCAGCUAACGCAUUAAGCACUCCGCCUGGGGAGUACGACCGCAAGGUUGAAACUCAAAGGAAUUGACGGGGACCCGCACAAGCGGUGGAGCAUGUGGUUUAAUUCGAAGCAACGCGAAGAACCUUACCAAAUCUUGACAUCCUUUGACAACUCUAGAGAUAGAGCCUUCCCCUUCGGGGGACAAAGUGACAGGUGGUGCAUGGUUGUCGUCAGCUCGUGUCGUGAGAUGUUGGGUUAAGUCCCGCAACGAGCGCAACCCUUAAGCUUAGUUGCCAUCAUUAAGUUGGGCACUCUAAGUUGACUGCCGGUGACAAACCGGAGGAAGGUGGGGAUGACGUCAAAUCAUCAUGCCCCUUAUGAUUUGGGCUACACACGUGCUACAAUGGACAAUACAAAGGGCAGCGAAACCGCGAGGUCAAGCAAAUCCCAUAAAGUUGUUCUCAGUUCGGAUUGUAGUCUGCAACUCGACUACAUGAAGCUGGAAUCGCUAGUAAUCGUAGAUCAGCAUGCUACGGUGAAUACGUUCCCGGGUCUUGUACACACCGCCCGUCACACCACGAGAGUUUGUAACACCCGAAGCCGGUGGAGUAACCUUUUAGGAGCUAGCCGUCGAAGGUGGGACAAAUGAUUGGGGUGAAGUCGUAACAAGGUAGCCGUAUCGGAAGGUGCGGCUG